GCGGCCUAUCAGCUUGUUGGUGAGGUAAUGGCUCACCAAGGCGACGACGGGUAGCCGGCCUGAGAGGGCGACCGGCCACACUGGGACUGAGACACGGCCCAGACUCCUACGGGAGGCAGCAGUGGGGAAUAUUGGGCAAUGGAGGAAACUCUGACCCAGCGACGCCGCGUGAGGGAUGAAGGCCUUCGGGUUGUAAACCUCUUUCAGUAGGGAAGAAGCGAGAGUGACGGUACCUACAGAAGAAGCACCGGCUAACUAUGUGCCAGCAGCCGCGGUAAUACAUUGGGUGCAAGCGUUGUCCGGAAUUAUUGGGCGUAAAGAGCUCGUAGGUGGUUCGAUACGUCGGAUGUGAAAAUCAGGGGCUCAACCCCUGACCUGCAUCCGAUACGGUCGAGCUAGAGUCUGGUAGGGGAGACUGGAAUUCCU
rnacentral:rRNA from 1 species